GUGUCAGCCGCCGCGGUAAUACGAAGGACCCGAGCGUUAUCCGGAUUUAUUGGGUUUAAAGGGUGCGUAGGCGGAUUAGUAAGUCAGUGGUGAAAGCCCGUCGCUCAACGGCGGAACUGCCAUUGAUACUGCUAGUCUUGAGUAUGGUUGAGGUGGGCGGAAUGUGUCAUGUAGCGGUGAAAUGCUUAGAUAUGACACAGAACACCAAUUGCGAAGGCAGCUCGCUAAGCCAUAACUGACGCUGAUGCACGAAAGCGUGGGGAGCAAACAGGAUUAGAAACCCGCGUAGUCC
rnacentral:rRNA from 1 species